rnacentral:rRNA from 1 species
AUUGAACGCUGGCGGCAUGCUUUACACAUGCAAGUCGAACGGCAGCGCGGGCUUCGGCCUGGCGGCGAGCGGCGAACGGGUGAGUAAUUCAUCGGAACGUGCCCAGUAGUGGGGGAUAGCUCGGCGAAAGCCGGAUUAAUACCGCAUACGACCUGAGGGUGAAAGCGGGGGAUCUUCGGACCUCGCGCUAUUGGAGCGGCCGAUGGCAGAUUAGCUAGUUGGUGGGGUAAAGGCCUACCAAGGCGACGAUCUGUAGCUGGUCUGAGAGGACGACCAGCCACACUGGGACUGAGACACGGCCCAGACUCCUACGGGAGGCAGCAGUGGGGAAUUUUGGACAAUGGGCGAAAGCCUGAUCCAGCAAUGCCGCGUGUGUGAUGAAGGCCUUCGGGUUGUAAAGCACUUUUGGCGGGAACGAAAAGGACUGUGCCAAUACCACGGUUCGAUGACGGUACCCGCAGAAUAAGCACCGGCUAACUACGUG